rnacentral:sRNA from 1 species
AUAGAAGAAGAUGAAGAAGAAGAAGAAGAAGAAGAGGCAAGAACAGAGGAUGU